rnacentral:siRNA from 1 species
GGAAUCAGACAUCAAUUCUCUGC